CUAUAUUAACAUACAGCGCGCGUCGAGCGAGCUGUCGAAUUGUUAGUCUUAACGAGCUAGAGAAAGAGUUCGAUCUGUUCGCAUCGGACGCAUUAACGAAUCUUUGACUUCGCGACACGACACGCGCAAUUAAACUCAUUGUACGUUGCCGAUCAACCCUGUAUAAUUCAAUCAAUAUAAUCUACAGCAAUUUGGGUUAAUUGCUCGCAGUACCUAAUCAUACCGAUUUAUAUAUUGAAGUAGUUAGAGAUACGGAAAGACAUCGAAGACGAUAAGUUUAAGAGAGAAAUGUACUGCCAGUAACAAAGAAAACGAACACUUUUUGUCUGCCAGUAAUAAACGAACAAAGGAACUGAAGGUCAGUGAAAGUUACGAUCUGUGAAUAGUGAAUAUACGGUAGUGUGACCAGUGUGACCGAUAAUACGGUUAUUCGCAUCGCAAUCAUUUCAUACAUCUUUCCGACAAAUAAAUACGCAGAUAGAACGGCCGUUUAACGGAUUCGUCGUGCGCGAACGCAACAUGACACGCGUUACGUUUCUACAUCUCGAUCUCGAUAUCGACGGCGCAGAAAGACGACUGGUCGUGGACGACGCAAUGGCCUUGAAAAAAAACGGUCAUGGUGUAAACUUCGAGACAACUCCUCAUGAUCCCAAACAUUGCAUCGUGGAAACAAAGGACGACACGAUUCCUGUUACCGUUGUAGGCAACUGGUUGCCUAGACACUUUCUCGGUAAAUUCAACGUGUUCUGCGCCUACAUACGC